rnacentral:misc_RNA from 1 species
GAACGCACAUUGCGCCCUGUGGUAUUCCGCAGGGCAUGCCUGUUCGAGCGUCAUUUCACCACUCAAGCCUGGCUUGGUAUUGGGCGUCGCGGCUCGCCGCGCGCCUCAAAGUUUCCGGCUGAGCCGUCCGUCUCCAAGCGUUGUGAUACAUAUUCGCUUCGGGGCGCGGGCGGCGUCGCGGCCGUUAAAUCUUUCACAAGGUUGACCUCGGAUCAGGUAGGGAUACCCGCUGAACUUAAG